rnacentral:rRNA from 1 species
GACAGAGGGUGCAAACGUUGCUCGGAAUUACUGGGCGUAAAGCGCGUGUAGGCGGGAAGAUAAGUCGGGUGUGAAAUCCCUGGGCUCAACCUAGGAACUGCAUCCGAAACUGUCUUUCUGGAGUGAUGGAGAGGAAAGCGGAAUUCCCGGUGUAGAGGUGAAAUUCGUAGAUAUCGGGAGGAACACCAGUGGCGAAGGCGGCUUUCUGGCCAUCAACUGACGCUGAGACGCGAAAGCGUGGGGAGCAAACAGG